rnacentral:rRNA from 1 species
UACAGAGGGUGCGAGCGUUGUCCGGAAUCACUGGGCGUAAAGGGCGCGUAGGUGGCGAGCCAAGUCCAUGGUGAAAGCUCGAUGCUCAACAUCGAGUCGGCCACGGAUACUGGUGCGCUUGAGCACUGUAGAGGCUAAUGGAAUUCCGGGUGUAGCGGUGGAAUGCGUAGAGAUCCGGAAGAACACCGGUGGCGAAGGCGGUUAGCUGGGCAGUUGCUGACACUGAGGCG